rnacentral:rRNA from 1 species
UACGGAGGGGGCAAGCGUUAUUCGGAUUUACUGGGCGUAAAGGGUGCGUAGGCGGUCGCGAAAGUCUGAUGUGAAAUCUUCAUCACUCAACGAGAAGAGGUCAUUGGAAACUGCACGACUUGAGUUUGGUAGAGGCUAGCGGAAUUCCUGGUGUAGCGGUGGAAUGUGUAGAUAUCAGGAAGAACACCUGUGGCGAAGGCGGCUAGCUGGGCCAAUACUGACGCUGAGGCACGAAAGCGUGGGGAGCAAACGGG